GACGAACGCUGGCGGCGUGCUUAACACAUGCAAGUCGAACGGUGAAAGAAGAGCUUGCUCUUCUGGAUCAGUGGCGAACGGGUGAGUAACACGUGAGUAACCUGCCCCAGACUCUGGAAUAAGCGCUGGAAACGGCGUCUAAUACCGGAUACGAGACCGAGCUGCAUGGCUACUGUCUGGAAAGUUUUUCGGUCUGGGAUGGACUCGCGGCCUAUCAGCUUGUUGGUGAGGUAACGGCUCACCAAGGCAACGACGGGUAGCCGGCCUGAGAGGGCGACCGGCCACACUGGGACUGAGACACGGCCCAGACUCCUACGGGGGGCAGCGGUGGGGAAUAUUGCACAAUGGGCGAAAGCCUGAUGCAGCGACGCCGCGUGAGGGAUGACGGCCUUCGGGUUGUAAACCUCUUUCAGCAGGGAAGAAGCGAAAGUGACGGUACCUGCAGAAGAAGCACCGGCUAACUACGU
rnacentral:rRNA from 1 species